rnacentral:rRNA from 1 species
CGCUCGACAUCAGAGUUUGAUCCUGCUCAGGAUGAACGCUAGCUACAGGCUUAACACAUGCAAGUCGAGGGGCAGCACGAACAAAGCUUGCUUUGUUUGGUGGCGACCGGCGCACGGGUGAGUAACGCGUAUCCGACCUACCCAUAACUCGGGCACAGCCGCUCGAAAGAGCGAUUGAUUCCCGAUAUGUCCUUGGAGUAGAUUCAAUGAUGAAAGAUUCAUCGGUUAUGGAUGGGGAUGCGUAAGAUUAGGUAGUAGGCGGGGUAACGGCCCACCUAGCCGACGAUCUUUAGGGGUUCUGAGAGGAAGGUCCCCCACACUGGUACUGAGACACGGACCAG